UUACGGCCAUAUCACGUUUAAACACCGGCUCUCGUACAAAGUUAAGCAACGUCGAGCCUGGUCAGCACCUAGAUGGGUGACCUCUUAGGAAUAUCAUGUGUUGUAAG